UACGGGGGGAGCAAGCGUUGUUCGGAUUUACUGGGCGUAAAGAGCGCGCAGGCGGUCGUUCAAGUCGAGUGUGAAAGCCCCCGGCUCAACUGGGGAGGUCAUUCGAUACUGAUCGACUCGAAGGCAGGAGAGGGAAGCGGAAUUCCCGGUGUAGUGGUGAAAUGCGUAGAUAUCGGGAGGAACACCAGUGGCGAAGGCGGCUUCCUGGCCUGUUCUUGACGCUGAGGCGCGAAAGCUAGGGGAGCAAACGGG
rnacentral:rRNA from 1 species